rnacentral:rRNA from 1 species
UCUCCUUUCUCUAAUCAAUGAAACUGAUCUUCCCGUGAAGAAGCGGGAAUUAAUUUAUAAGACGAGAAGACCCCAUGGAGCUUUAAACCCAAUUACAUCCCUAUAUUUUAUUCCCUUUUAAUCUUUAAGGCCCUGUACAUCUGGUUUUAGGUUGGGGUGACCGCGGAGCACAAAUCAGCCUCCACGAUGAAUGGAAUUAUUCCCUUAUCUAAGAAUUACAUUUCUAAGAAUUAAUAUUUUAACAUUUAAUGAUCCAAUAAUUGAUCAACGAACCAAGUUACCCUGGGGAUAACAGCGCAAUCCACUUCAAGAGCUCCUAUCGACAAGUGGGUU